GCCCGAAGACAGGGUCUUUCAAAACUUCCUCAUACUCAUCUUUAGGAGCCACCUUUACCGCCUUCAGAAGCGUCCUUCUACAUGUGUUGUUAAUCUUAUCCAUCUGCGUCUCAGCACCUUCUUGAAGAUUGCGUUUAGGAAACUGGUGAGCCAUUCCUAAAAAACAUGAAUUCCAUAAGUUAACAGUGAACCAAAUAUAACCAUCUCACAUUUAACUAGUUUUUUACAAUUCAAAACUACUUAGAAACACAGAUCGAAACAAAAUAUAAUCAACUAGCAAAUGUGUUUACCUCUAAAAUAAAACAGAGUCAAAGCUACGCACCAAAUGAAUAACAAAA
rnacentral:lncRNA from 1 species